AUUACCGAGUUAUACAACUCAUCAACCCUGUGAACAUACCUAAACGUUGCUUCGGCGGGAACAGACGGCCCCGUAACACGGGCCGCCCCCGCCAGAGGACCCCCUAACUCUGUUUCUAUAAUGUUUCUUCUGAGUAAAACAAGCAAAUAAAUUAAAACUUUCAACAACGGAUCUCUUGGCUCUGGCAUCGAUGAAGAACGCAGCGAAAUGCGAUAAGUAAUGUGAAUUGCAGAAUUCAGUGAAUCAUCGAAUCUUUGAACGCACAUUGCGCCCGCCAGUAUUCUGGCGGGCAUGCCUGUUCGAGCGUCAUUACAACCCUCAGGCCCCCGGGCCUGGCGUUGGGGAUCGGCGGAGCCCCCCGCGGGCACACGCCGUCCCCCAAAUACAGUGGCGGUCCCGCCGCAGCUUCCAUUGCGUAGUAGCUAACACCUCGCAACUGGAGAGCGGCGCGGCCACGCCGUAAAACCCCCAACUUCUGAACGUUGACCUCGAAUCAGGUAGGAAUACCCGCUGAACUUAAGCAUAUCAAUAAGCGGAGGAAAAGAAACCAACAGGGAUUGCCCUAGUAACGGCGAGUGAAGCGGCAACAGCUCAAAUUUGAAAUCUGGCUCUCGGGCCCGAGUUGUAAUUUGUAGAGGAUGCUUUUGGUGAGGUGCCUUCCGAGUUCCCUGGAACGGGACGCCACAGAGGGUGAGAGCCCCGUCUGGUUGGACACCGAUCCUCUGUAAAGCUCCUUCGACGAGUCGAGUAGUUUGGGAAUGCUGCUCUAAAUGGGAGGUAUAUGUCUUCUAAAGCUAAAUACCGGCCAGAGACCGAUAGCGCACAAGUAGAGUGAUCGAAAGAUGAAAAGAACUUUGAAAAGAGAGUUAAAAAGUACGUGAAAUUGUUGAAAGGGAAGCGCUUGUGACCAGACUUGGGCUUGGUUGAUCAUCCAGGGUUCUCCCUGGUGCACUCUUCCGGCCCAGGCCAGCAUCAGUUCGCCCCGGGGGAAAAAGGCUUCGGGAAUGUGGCUCUCUCCGGGGAGUGUUAUAGCCCGUUGCGUAAUACCCUGUGGCGGA
rnacentral:rRNA from 1 species